rnacentral:rRNA from 1 species
UGCAAGUCGAGCGCAUAGCAAUAUGAGCGGCGGACGGGUUAGUAACGCGUGGGAACGUACCCUUUUCUGCGGAAUAGCUUUGGGAAACUGAAGGUAAUACCGCAUACGCCCGGUAACGGGGAAAGAUUUAUCGGAGAAGGAUCGGCCCGCGUCUGAUUAGAUAGUUGGUGGGGUAAUGGCCUACCAAGUCUACGAUCAGUAGCUGGUUUGAGAGGAUGAUCAGCAACACUGGGACUGAGACACGGCCCAGACUCCUACGGGAGGCAGCAGUGGGGAAUCUUAGACAAUGGGCGCAAGCCUGAUCUAGCCAUGCCGCGUGAGUGAUGAAGGCCUUAGGGUCGUAAAGCUCUUUCGCUGGGGAAGAUAAUGACGGUACCCAGUAAAGAAACCCCGGCUAACUCCGUGCCAGCAGCCGCGGUAAUACGGAGGGGGUUAGCGUUGUUCGGAAUUACUGGGCGUAAAGCGCGCGUAGGCGGGUCAGAAAGUUGGGGGUGAAAUCCCAGGGCUCAACCCUGGAAUUGCCUUCAAAACUCCUGGUCUUGAGUUCGAGAGAGGUGAAGUGGAAUUCCGAGUGUAGA